rnacentral:rRNA from 1 species
UACGUAGGGUGCGAGCGUUAAUCGGAAUUACUGGGCGUAAAGCGUGCGCAGGCGGUUUUGUAAGCCAGAUGUGAAAUCCCCGGGCUCAACCUGGGAAUUGCAUCUGUGACUGCAUCGCUAGAGUACGGUAGAGGGGGAUGGAAUUCCGCGUGUAGCAGUGAAAUGCGUAGAUAUGUGGAGGAACACCGAUGGCGAAGGCAGCCCCCUGGGUCAAGAUUGACGCUCGAUGCACGAAAGCGUGGGGAGCAAACAGG